AGCGAACGCUGGCGGCAGGCCUAACACAUGCAAGUCGAACGAAGCCUUCGGGCUUAGUGGCGGACGGGUGAGUAACACGUGGGAACGUACCUUUUGGUUCGGAAUAACGCAGAGAAAUUUGCGCUAAUACCGGAUGAGCCCUUCGGGGGAAAGAUUUAUCGCCGAAAGAUCGGCCCGCGUUGGAUUAGGUAGUUGGUGUGGUAAAGGCGCACCAAGCCUACGAUCCAUAGCUGGUCUGAGAGGAUGAUCAGCCACACUGGGACUGAGACACGGCCCAGACUCCUACGGGAGGCAGCAGUGGGGAAUCUUGCGCAAUGGGCGAAAGCCUGACGCAGCCAUGCCGCGUGAAUGAUGAAGGUCUUAGGAUUGUAAAAUUCUUUUACCAGGGACGAUAAUGUCGGUACCUGGAGAAAAAGCCCCGGCUAACUUCGUGCCAGCCGCCGCCGUAAGAC
rnacentral:rRNA from 1 species